rnacentral:piRNA from 1 species
UAAUUGAAACAAUUAUUUAUUGAGAUAGGGU